CUGUCACAAGCUUGGAAUUUGCACACUGACCAAUCCAAGCGUGGGUGAUGUAAUCUAUCAACCCAUCCAAGUGUGGGUGAUGUAAUCUACUUUCUUGAUAGAUUACAUCACCCACACUGGAUUGGUCAGUGUGCAAAUUCCAAGCUUGUGACAGAUACAGGAAGUCACGUUACUCUCCGCAUACAUCUGAUGUACAGUAUGCCUACGUUCGAUACUCUCUCUCUAUCAUAAACUCUUGGUAAUAACCUCUUGCUCUAGCGAGGUCUUGGCUGUGAGGUCGAGUCUGUGGAUGAUCUUUAUGACUGAGCCCACCACUUCAUCGUACAGCAAACUGUGUACCUCCUUCCUCGUUCCAGGAUCCAUGAACACGCGAUGCCGAAAAAGAGGCUGCACAUCAGCUGCAGAUAAGGCAGAUGCAAGAGCAAAUGGAAGCCAUGCGAAGGCUGGGUGGAGCAUAGUAGGUGCUCGAGAACAGGAGCGAGCUGGCCGAUACCUAUACUUAAAAUGUUUAGGCAUGCGACAAAAACAGUUUUUUUCCCGAUCUGACUGUCGUGGCUUUCUAAAUUUUAAUUAUUCCCAUACGCGUAUAGAUCGACAUGUCAACCUCAAUUCUGUAUAUUACUAUCACCAAAGUUUCAAUGAGCUCUCCUCUUCUAUCACACUAUACCCAUUGUUAUUACUUCCUUUACGUCUAUCAGUUAUAGUAUUGGUACUAUAAUGCUGGAGUUUCACUAUGAGAUAAUAGCCUUAAUUAGGGAUCUUUAUAAAACAUGUGACUUAAUGCCAAAUGGUGUACGUUCCAUAUUAUUACAGUAUGUACAUGAUUACAUGAUUUUUGUGCGAUGAAGUUAACUAUAACAUUGGCUCUAGUGCCAUCCUUGCUAGAUCUAGUAGUGAUGGAAUUUUGGGUGUAAACAGAAGGUGAUGAGAAAUGUUCACUUGUGGUAUUUUGUUCAUGUCUCAUUAAUGUUUAACAGCAAUUCAUUAUCAAGUGUGUAUAAUUAAUGAAGACAGAACUGAUCUUAAAUCAUUAUCGCCAUGCACCUUUUCAAUAAUCUACUCUUGUUUUAUAAAUAGGAAUAUAGUAAUAGCUAAAUAUGGACCUCUCUGCCUGUAGAAAAGGUCUGGCUACAAUUUAUCCAGCCACGCCCAGGCUACACAAUUUGCAUCUCUGGUAGAAAGUUGAUUAAUUACAUAAUACCAUUAUAGUAGGGCACCCCCUAUAAAAUAAUUUGUGUGGGCUUUCCCUAUGCAUGCUGCAACUUAUGAAGAACAGCAAGCAAAAACAGUUUUGGUACUCAGUCACUUGUACAGCUAGCUAUGGCUACUUAUCUUCUUCUACUAAUGCUUUGCUUUGGAAUGCAGGAUGUAUUCAGUACUGAAGAAAAGUGCAUUCGGACUCAGUACGACCUCCAACAGUCUCUGAUUAACCGGACAGUCAACAUGGAGACAUUAAAUGGAGCAUUCUCCCCUGGUAAUCAUCAGGAUAGUAUGUCAUUUUAUGUGUACUACCACUUCUGCUCAUUGAAUCCUGUCAAUAGCAGCAAUGGCAGCCUACCAUCUUGCAGUGCGCUAGAAAAUUGGGUCCAUGGUCUGCAUUUAGGAAAGAACGAAACACUUGACUUCAGUGAACGCUAUAUGUUCAAGUUUCUUUGGAAUGCUUCUCCAAUCAACCUUUUUAUCCGUCCGGAUCUCCUUCAAACUCUCUCUCUGUACAUGUUCCAAGUAAAUUUGCCUGAAGCCCACCUCAUUCUGGACCAUGUUUGUGAUGAUGUAAAUGAGUCGUUGACGUUGACUGCACAAAAUGAAAGCUACAAUGACCCGCUAUACAUUUGUAGGGAUCCACCUCCAAUUCUCGUGAUGCUGGAAAGUAUGACAGUUAAUCUAAAGAGCUUCUACCUCCACAAGCAGUCAUUCUUUACUCAUGGCACUGGUACUUUGAAUGAGCAGGGUUAUCCCAUCUAUUACUUUGAUCCUCAAAUUCAUGUAAACGACGUUUGUCCGCUAAGGCAAGUUAACGAUUUUGCAAUCAUGAGAUAUUUCUUGGUGGCUGCUAUAAUGUUAACUCAACUGCUGAAUCCAAUUGCUGUUCCUUUAAUUGGUCUAUAUGUGUAUGUUCGACAUGAUUUAAAGGAUUUGAAAUUUUUAUUUUUCAUAGGCUUCUUUAUUGUAUUUAUUCUGCUUGGUUUGACUGUAUUUGUUUGGGACAUUCAUACAUUAGUAAUCACUUUGAAUGUCACGUCAAGCAUUCAAGAUAUCCUCAUCUACUACAUUUGUGCUGCGAUAUCUGUCCUCGUAUAUAAUCCUGUUGUAUUGAUCAUCACUCUUUGUUGCACUCUCAAAUCCUUACAAAAGUCUCAAUCUCACACUGGAUGGCGGGAUACCUUAAAGAGCAAUAAGUUGUAUGUAGCAGCCACCAUUAUUAUUGAGCUAACCGUUAACCUACUAUCUUUCCACAUCUUUUAUAUCUUCUUGGGGCUAGCUGCAGCUCCAGUAGCUACUGGCUUUAAUCUUGGUCUUGCAACAACAAUUUUUCUUAGUACGAACGUGUACUUAGUAAUGAUUUUAAAAAUAAACGAGGAGACGUGCAAGUCAGUAUGGAAUGUUCUAAUAAAAGGCUAUAAGGCUGUACCAGAAGGUUCAGAGGGAAAAUCUACAUGCACUUGUACAUGUAUCUGUUCUACGUUUACUAAAGUGCUAAUGAAUAUAAUAGUGAUACUCGUAUGGAUGACGAUUAUAUCGUACUGUGUAUUUUUCUACGUGAUAUCAGUCCACGUGGGUCCAUUCACAUCCACAGUUUCUUUGCUUGUCUUUAUUGUCGAUUUAUUUAUAGCUAUGCUUGCUGCCAUCUUUCCAAUUCUUAUCGAUAAGACAACAACAUUCUUCAAGAAAAUUAAGCAGCAAAACAGUGAAAGCCCAAUAGUGAAGAAAAACGAUGUCGUUGCCAUGACACAAUAAACUUUUUUUGGAUUGCAUGGCUGUGUGAAUUAAAUACUUUACAAUUUACUUAGAUUUAGCUAUUCAUGAGACUGUUGUGCAAUAGACUAUAUAAUUCGUUAUAUAUAAUUUUGGGGGAGUUAAGCUCAAAAUUAUGCAUGA